UACGGGGGGGGCAAGCGUUGUUCGGAAUUACUGGGCGUAAAGGGCUCGUAGGUGGCCAACUAAGUCAGACGUGAAAUCCCCCGGCUUAACCGGGGAACUGCGUCUGAUACUGGAUGGCUUGAGUUCGGGAGAGGGAUGCGGAAUUCCAGGUGUAGCGGUGAAAUGCGUAGAUAUCUGGAGGAACACCGGUGGCGAAGGCGGCAUCCUGGACCGAUACUGACGCUGAGGAGCGAAAGCCAGGGGAGCAAACAGG
rnacentral:rRNA from 1 species